rnacentral:lncRNA from 1 species
AUGCCUUGGAAACAGGCUACCAAUGAGGCCCACAGAAGUUGGUUCAAGUCAAUUUCCUCUUCUAUAAACAGUAAUCAAACAGAGCCUAUCACUCAUAUGGGCUACUGUGGAACAGUGACUCUGCUGAAGGUUAUCUGGUUUUGUACUCGUAUGGUGCUUUAUAGUUUAGCAUGCAUUUCUCUCUCCCUCCCUCCCUCCCCGCUCCCCCUCCCCAGGUUUAAUUCUUACAACUGCCUUGAGAAGUAA